CCUACGGGUGGCUGCAGUGAGGAAUAUUGGUCAAUGGCCGUGAGUCUGAACCAGCCAAGUAGCGUGAAGGAUGAAUGACCUAUGGUUUGUAAACUUCUUUUAUAGGGGAAUAAAGCUAUGCACGUGUGCCUUUUUGCAUGUACUUUAUGAAUAAGGAUCGGCUAACUCCGUGCCAGCAGCCGCGGUAAUACGGAGGAUCCGAGCGUUAUCCGGAUUUAUUGGGUUUAAAGGGAGCGUAGAUUGGUUGUUAAGUCAGUGGUGAAAGUUUGUGGCUCAACCGUAAAAUUGCAGUUGAGACUGGAAGUCAUGAGUAUAGUUGAGGUAGGCGGAAUGCGUGGUGUAGCGGUGAAAUGCAUAGAUAUCACGAAGAACUCCGAUUGCGAAGGCAGCUUACUAAACCAUGACUGACAUUGAAGCACGAAAGCGUGGGGAUCAAACAGGAUUAGAUACCCGUGUAGUC
rnacentral:rRNA from 1 species